rnacentral:rRNA from 1 species
AGCGAACGCUGGCGGCAUGCCUAACACAUGCAAGUCGAACGAGACCUUCGGGUCUAGUGGCGCACGGGUGCGUAACGCGUGGGAAUCUGCCCCUCGGUUCGGAAUAACAGUGAGAAAUUACUGCUAAUACCGGAUGAUGACUUCGGUCCAAAGAUUUAUCGCCGAGGGAUGAGCCCGCGUAGGAUUAGGUAGUUGGUGGGGUAAUGGCCUACCAAGCCGACGAUCCUUAGCUGGUCUGAGAGGAUGAUCAGCCACACUGGGACUGAGACACGGCCCAGACUCCUACGGGAGGCAGCAGUGGGGAAUAUUGGACAAUGGGGGCAACCCUGAUCCAGCCAUGCUGCGUGAGUGAUGACGGCCUUAGGGUUGUAAAGCUCUUUUCUCCGGGACGAUAAUGACGGUACCGGAGGAAUAAGCCCCGGCUAACUUCGUGCCAGCAGCCGCCGCCGUAA